GACAGAGGUGCCGAGCGUUAGGCGGAAUCACUGGGCUUAAAGCGUGUGUAGGCGGACUCGUAAGUGCUUUGUGAAAUCCCACGGCUCACCCGUGGAACUGCUUGGCAUACUGCGGGCCUGAGUCCACUUAGGGGCAACCGGAACAAACGGUGGAGCGGUGAAAUGCGUAGAUAUCGUUUGGAACGCCAAUGGUGAAAACAGGUUGCUGGGAGUGCGCUGACGCUGAGACACGAAAGCCAGGGGAGCGAACGGG
rnacentral:rRNA from 1 species